UACGGGGGGAGCAAGCGUUGUUCGGAUUUACUGGGCGUAAAGGGCGCGUAGGCGGCCACCGCAAGUCGAUUGUGAAAUCUCCGGGCUUAACCCGGAAAGGUCAACCGAUACUGCGGGGCUAGAGUGCGGAAGGGGCAACUGGAAUUCUUGGUGUAGCGGUGAAAUGCGUAGAUAUCAAGAGGAACACCUGCGGCGAAGGCGGGUUGCUGGGCCGACACUGACACUGAGGCACGAAAGCGUGGGGAGCAAACAGG
rnacentral:rRNA from 1 species